rnacentral:tRNA from 1 species
GCCAUCGUGGUGUAAUGGUAGCACACUCCACGCGUAUUCGAGAGGUUCAGGUUCGAGUCCUGGCGAGAGCA